AAUCCAAACCGACACCCCACAGCCACACUUCCUAUCUCAGAACAGAACCCUAUCCUGCCCCACCCACGCGCCUGCAGUUCGCUCCAUCCACCGCGCCGCCGCCGCCGCUCCGCCUAGGCUCCCCUGCCGUCGCGCUGCAGGCAACCUGUCGGCGCCCUCCCAUCAGCGGCUAUUUUCGUCGCUCAGCCCACGAGCCCCUGCCAUUGCGCGACCGUUGACCGCGUGUUCCUCCCGGCUUCCCGGUGCCGGCGCGAUUCGUCGGCCUGCUAACGAGCUUCCAAGUGAGGGGCGCUUCGACGGACACCAUACGCUGCCCGCAGUUCACUCCUCCGCCACCUACUCGCUCCUGGUGACGAGGCGUUCCUCCUUGCGGCAGCGCGCUAGGUCGACCUGCUUACGAGCUCCCAAUGGAUGCGCGCUUUGUUGGGUGUUGGCCUACUCGUGAAGUCCCAACGGUGGCUCCCUGCGACCCCCUGCCCCUGAAACUUCUACCUGCAGAGUGUAGUCGGUGGGAAGGAUGUUGUCUGUCGGAUAUAAGCAAAGCAAGGAAGGAGCGGGCCGAGGAAAUUGAUAAGAAGUGUACAAAUAUGCAUCAAACAUUCUGCUUUUCAAAGAGCAACAAAGAAUAUUUUGAUCACUGAAGAAGACCUACGAUGCAGGCCCAAGAUGGAAAGGGUGGCCGUGGGAACUAUUCAGCACGCCGAUCACACAAUUAUAAUGGUAUAUGCUGAGAAGUUACAUAAUUUUCCAGAAGAUUGGCAUGGAUUUGGUUCUAAAUGCACGGACUGGUCUUGAAGCAAGGUCGAUCAAGACACUGUACGAGUGUUACUGUGUCACAAGGUCUAUUGGAUGGCCAUUUAGCUAGAUAUGCUGACUUGUGUAUAGGUGACGUACAAGCCAUAGCAUCUUCCUUACCCAUCGCAGAGUUAUUUCUCUAACUCAGCUAUGCAGUGAAAUUAUUUCAGUACUGAGAUGUUUGUAUCAUGAAAAUAUACCAGAGGGGGAGAAACCAUGAAACUGGCGGUUCACAUCAAUUGGAUUUUUCGUGUAAAGGAGCAAACUAUGAAUUGCCAGAUACAUCCUUUAGCUAUCACUUUGUAAACCUCUAUGGUGUCUUAGGCACUGGACCAUAUUGUUUCCUCUAUUUUAGUUACCUUUUAGUAUAUGAGAAGUACUUCUGUACGAGAAUUAAUUAAAAUGUUUGGUUCUGGUUUGAUAAUCUUCAAGGAUAUGCACAUUACUGGAAA